ensembl:lncRNA LINC01361 long intergenic non-protein coding RNA 1361
CAGUAGGAGCAAGGGAAGGGCAGAGGGGCUUAUUUCAUAUAAGGGCUUCUUGUCGCCUGAACUAUGGUUGAAGUUCCCUCACAGAACAGAGCAGCUGGUCACAGCUCUGCCCAGGCAUUUCUGUGUCUGCAUCUUCCUGCUGUACUUGCAUAUCAAGAAGCAUUUCAGACCACAGGAAUGCAGGAUUCCAAGGCGCCAAUUUACCUUGGAAUUUGAAAAGAUGAUGGAAAUGAUGUUAAAGAAAAAGAAAAUUCGAGUGAUUUUCUUAUUUGAGGUCAAAAUGGGUCAUAAAGCAGUGGAGACAACUCGCAAAAUCAACAACACAUUUGGUUCAGGAACUGCUAACAAAUGUACAGUGCAGUGGUGGUUCAAGAAGUUUUGCAAAGGAGAGGAGAGCCUUGAAAACGAGGAAAACAGUGGCUGGCUAUAGGAAGUUGACAAUGACCAACUGAGAGCAACCAUGGAAGCUGAUCCUCUUACAACUGCGUGAGAAGUUGCCAAGGAACUCAGCGUUGAGCAUUCUAGAGUCUUUCAGCAUUUGAAGCAAAUUGGGAAGGUGAAAAAGCUGGAUAAGUGGAUGCCUCAUGAGAUGAGUGAAAAUUUAAAAAAAAAUAAAAUAAAAAACAAAAUUGUCAUUUUGAAGUGUCAUCUUCUCUUACUCUAAGCAACAACAACAAAUCAUUUCUCAAUCAGUUUGUGACGUUCAAUGAAAUGUGGAUUUUAUACGACAACUGGUGAUGACCAGCUCAGUGGCUAGACCAAGAAGCUCCAAAACACUUCCCAAAGCCAAACUUGGACCAAAAAAAGGUCAUGUUCGCUGUUUGGUGGUCUGCUGCUGGUCUGAUCCACUAUUGCUUUCUGACUCCCGGCGAAACCAUUACAUCUGAGAAGUAUGCUCAGCAAUUCAAAGAGAUGAACCGAAAACUUCAACCCCUGCAGUCAGCAAUGGUCAACAGAAAGGGCCCAAUUCUCCACGACAAUGCAUGAUCGCACAUUACACAACUAAAGCUUCAAAAGUUGAACUAACUGGGCUACGAAGUUUUGCCUCAUCCACCAUAUUCACCUGACCUCCCGCCAACCGACUACCACUUCUUCAAUCAUCUCGACAACUUUUUGCAAGGAAAACACUUCCACAACCAGUAGAAUGCAAAAAGUGCUUUCCAAGAGUUCACUGAAUCCUGAAGCACGGAUUUUUAUGCUACAGGAAUAAACAAACUUAUUUUUCAUUGGUAAAAAUGUGUUGAUUGUAAUGGUUCCUAUUUUGAUUAAUGAAGAUGUGUUUGAGCCUAGUUAUAAUGAUUUAAAAUUCACGAUCCAAAACCGCAAUUACUUUUGCAUCAGCCUAAUAUGAGGAAGUAAUAGUUGAACAGAAUAAUUCUUUCCUGGAAGUCUGGCAUUUUGCCUGGGGAGAAGGAUCAUUAAAAACUUAAACAUUUUAAUAAAACCAUUUAAACAAAUGAUUUUGUUACAAUGUCUGAUAGGGUGAUACAUGCUGUUGAAAUGGGAAAGUUCCCUUGUUCCCUCACAGGGCUGGUGAUGGGGGUGUGGCUCGCUUCUUCCGUGCCUCACUGCUCAAACCUCUAGGGGAGCAUACAGACCGGCAGCUGUGGGGCUCUGACCCCACGGCAGUGUCUAGAGGUGAGUGUCUACAGCUGAAGCCCCAGUGGGUGUGUGUUACAGGGUACUCUUUUAGUUUGCUGUCUAUAGGCAGCUUGUGUUAACCAGCUAGAUUAGACCCUCUACCUUAUCCCAAGGACAGAGGGCUUUCUGUAUCCUGGGUUCUUGCCUUGGUGUACCGGAAGAAUCGGAUCACACGUGGGCUUGGAGAAUGAAUGUAAAGUUUUAUUGAGUGGAAGUAGCUCUCAGCCGAUGGGGGAGCCAGAAGGGAGAUGGUUUUCCCCUGGAGUUGGGCUGCUCAGUGGCCCCUGGCUCUCCUAAGACUUCCCCAGGCCAAACUCCACCUAGUCCUGCUAGAGGACGGCCUGGCCUCCUGCCGGCGUCAGUCAGUGUGCUCUUCCAUUGGUGUGCUUCCCUCAACAUCCUCUCAAUGUCCGGCCACUUAUCUUUUUCCGCCGAUGUGUUCCUCUCGCCAUCCAGCAGCUUCUGUCUCUGCCUUGCUAGGGUCUCAGGUUUUUAUAGGCCCAGGAUGGGGUUGUGGUGGGCCAGAGCGGUCUUGGUAAAUGCAACAUUUCUGCCUGUCCUCACCUAGGUCCGUGGGGGUAGAGCCCUAGUCAGGGCCCUCCUCUACCCAACACUUCCCUUCCCCCCUCCAUAUCAUUUAAAGGGACCACGCCCUUCCCUUCCUGGCACUCUUGUAUCACUAUAAAAAUAAAACAGUAUAAAAGCUUGGAAUGCAAAGAGCAGUAAACGCUGAGCUAGGAUGGGAAGCCAGGCUCUAGAUCCUCUGUAAUAGCCCCUGUUAUUCAUCAGUCUCAGGUACAACUGGGAGGUCACAAUUCAACCCAUAAUGAAAGCAUCUCUAUUACUGGCAUUUGAGGCCUCCAGUAAUCACUCCUUACCUACAUAAUCUAAGGUAACUCAAGUCAUCAACAUCAAAUCUCUGUUCCAAUCAAGUCUACUUAUCUUCACUUAAAAUGUACUCACUAUGACUCUGUGCCUUGGCUCACGCUGUUCCUUUAGCAUGUGUGCACACGCACUCAGGCACACAUUCACACAUGCUUUCUUUUGACUUUAAUGUAAGUUCAAUUUAUUCUAUAAAACAUUCCCUGUUUAUUAGAGUAAGAGUUACAUCUUCAGUUUUGUUUGUAAUUUUUAUCACAUGUACUGUGAUUCUGAACAAUCUAUAAAUAUGUGUUGACAGAGCAGAAUUUAUCUGAGCUCCAAGCCCUGAAAAAUGAUAAAAAGAAACCAAUAUGCAAAUAUUUCAGAAGCUGAGGAACUAUAACUUCGGGACUAGUUUUUUGUCGUGUCUGCAUUGACAAUGAUUUUUAAAAUUAAAGUGUAAAAUCUGGAAAAAAGUAUUAAAAAUAUUGAACCUACUGGUCAAGAAAAAAUAUUGAGGAUAAAUACAAAUAUGAUUUGCAUGGCAUUAGACUUUGGAGAAUUUAAUAACAUUAAAUUCAAGAUACCUUUAAAUCUUUGUGUAUUAAUAUUAUUUAAUUUUUAUAUCCUUCAAUUCCAAAAAAGAAUAUAAAGAAAUAAAUUUGAAUGUUUAUUCACAUUAUUUCAGCCAUUAAUUAUAAUAUACAGUUGACCCUUCAUAUCCACAGGAGAUUGGCUCCUGAACCCCUGAGGUUACCAAAAUCCGUGGAUGCUCAAAUCUCUGAAAUAAAGUGGCAUAGUAUUUGCACAUAACCUACGCACAUCCUAUUAUAUACUUUAAAUCAUCUCUAGAUGACUUAUAAUACCUAAAACAAGGUAAAUGCUAUGUAAAUAAUUCUUAUAUGGUAUUGUUUCCUCAUUUGUAUUUUUUAAAUUGUAUUAUUUUUCAUUGUUUUUUUCCCAAAUAUCUUUCAGCUUCUGAUGGUUGAAUCUGAGAAUGCAGAAGCAGCACAUAUGGAGGACUGACUGUGUAUUUAAAAGUGGUGGUUCAGUCAUAGUGAAGAGAAUGACUUCUUUCUAAAUAAAAUGAAGCAGGUGUAUUCAUCAUUAAAGUGAAGAAAACAUGUUUGAGAAAAGCAAAAUGCCAAGAAUUCAUAUGACAUUUGCACCAUCUCAAACUAAAGCUGAAGUGGCCUUGCCAAUAUUAUUUAUUCUAAAUAAUCACACAGAAAAACAAAUGGCUUCUCAAUAAAAAAAUACUCCUUCUAGUUCCAACAAUAAUAGAGUCAGAAACAGGACUUGACUAAAACUGCAGUUGCCAUUCCUGCUUUCCACCUUUUUCCAACUUUAAAAGAUUUAAAUACAAUUUGCUUGUCUUUAUAAACAACAGAACUAAUCACCAUCCGGGGUAGCAACCAGCAUGUGUUGCUAAAUUUGGCAGACUCAACCAGAAUAAAGAAUAUAAAGAACAGUUAAUAGAAUCUUAAUAAAGUUGCUGGUGUUUAUAGGCAUUACAUUAGUUUGCUAUGGCUGCCAAAACAAAGUACUGGAAACUGUUGGAAAUUUAAUGACUCUCAGUUCUCGAGGCUAAAAGUCUGAAAUCAAAGGAUUGGUAGGAUCGGUUCCUUUUUAGGGCUGUGAGGGAAAGAUCUGUUCUAGGUCAUUCUGGUUUGUAGAUUUUCAUACUUACAUGUCAUUCUCCCUGCAUAUGUGGCUGUCCCUAAAUUUCCCCUUUUUACAUGGACACAAGUCAUGUUGGAUUGGGACCCACCUUAAUGCCCUUAUUUUAGCUUGAUUAAUUCUAUAAAGAUUCUAUUUCUAUACAAGGUCACAUUUGUAGGUAGAGGGGUUAAGACUUCAACAUAUGAACUGGAAGGUCACAAUUCAACCUAUAACAAGCACUUUUCUCAUUUUCAUUUGGAGCGUAAUUUAAAAUUUUAUUUUUUUGUGUAAAUUCUAUGGGUAACAUAAAUACCUAUUCGGAACAAUAAUUAAGCUGGGUCUUCAAAACUGUAUA